rnacentral:snRNA from 1 species
UGAGCCGUCACACGGAAUC